rnacentral:lncRNA from 1 species
GCAAAGGAACAGGGACAGAUCCGGUGGGUGGGGAGGAACGGAAAGGACAUGAGGAGAGCACUCGACUGGCAGAUCUAGGAGAAACACGAGCGGCGGCGGUUCUGGAGGCGGAGGAAGGAGCAACGGUGCAAAGGGACAAGGAACAAGCAGAGCCAUGGAAGAAAGGAAGAGGAGGGAGAAAGAGAAGUGUUCUCGUCGGUGGGCGAGAGGCCACACCGACGGCGGCGAAGACGUUCACAGGAAAACCCUAAUCGGGUUGGGAGAGAAAAAGUUUUUUUUUUUAAGUG